CCUAACUUGUAACACGGCAAAAUGUGAAACAAGUCAAGGGUGUGAAUAUUUUCUGAAGGCACGUUCUAGUAAAUGAACAAUCAGGUUCGUGGGAGUGUUAUGUUUCCCUUUCCUUCCCCUUUUCAAAAUUUCUCUGACUUCUCCAUUUAGUCCAGGGACCAGAAAAAUGCCCAUAAAAAGGGAGAAAUUACUGUUUUUGGGCAAUAGAACUAGAAUACACUUCUACGCAUUGGUAUAACCAGUGUGUAUGGGUCCAUAUAAUCAAUGGAUGGUAAAUCAGGUUGCAGUUUCACAAACUUCUUAACUGAAUGAUUCUGAAUGAAUCCAUAUCAAACUACUGUUGGGAGCCUGCAGAGAAUUACACGUUUUGUGUUUUGUUCCUCUGAAUGGCAGUACUUGUCUAGUCCAGGGCUCUCCAACCCUGUUCCUGGAGAGCUACCCUCCUGUAGGUUUUCACUCCAACCCAAGUUGGAACUAAUAGCAUUCAGUUUAUCAACCACUAAUUAUUAGAAUAAUGUGUGAUGAUAAGGGUUGGAGUGAACCUAUAGGAUGGUAGCUCUCGAGGAACAGGGUUGGAGAGCCCUAGUGUAGUCUCUCUUCCCACAGUCACUAUCUGGCAAGAAAGACCAUUUAUCCAAUUUUAAAAAGCUCAAUUUGAUAUACUGUAGAUAGCAAUGUUUGUAUAUAUUUGUCUCAUUUCUAGAACUACAAUUUAACAUUCACUUGCUACAAUCUUUUAAUUGGAGUUCUUCAUUGUCAGAGCAGAAAACAUGAAUUAUUCUGUGUAAGGAAAAGCCUCGGGAGAAGUUGAGAAUUGUUGGGGAAAUCAGGAGAAAACACCUGCCUAUCUGGCCUAAGAAUGGCUACUUGUGUUUGUUUUCUACCACAAGUAAAAUAACCAGAUGUGUAUUGUGUAUCUUAGGCAAAGGCUGAACCAAGGCACUCUAACCAACGAGCAAACACAAGUCAGUGAGUCUCCUCAGAUAUAGGGUGGAGUGUUUCAUUGUGCCAUACCAUUAUGGACAAAAUGGAAAGGGUGGCAUCCUAAAUGAGUUGCCUGUCAAACUGACUUCCUUCAGCACAUCAUUGAAUACUAAUGAAAUCCCAAUAGUAUUUUUUCCAUCUGCGCCUGUCACACUUUUGGAUUCAUCUCACGUGGCCUAUUUCAAUUUGUGGCUACUCUAGCUGUAAGCAGUGUGAGUUCAUUCUCAUCUGAACCAAGUGAGUACUACCCUUUUGUCAAAUCUGCUAAGAGACUCAAGUCAAAGGCCAUUGGCAGCAGUGUUGCUAUAGUAACUGUCCUUGGUUCAAUUUACAAAAACUUUAAAUUCUGAAGUCAGUCCUAAGCCUUUUUAGUCUCUUGGAGAGAUAGGGGUGUUGAAUUUUAACAGGUUGCUAAAUCUACUUUUGCUUCACUGUUCAUCUUCCUAGCAUGGAGGAAGACAAGGUGUGUGUGGUUGGGCUGGAUUUAAUUGGAUUAGACUAACAUUCUUGUUCUUGAACCUAUAUAUAUUUUAUUGCAUCGGGCAAAUGGCAAGAUUUGUAGAGUAUAUUAUUCAGUCAGGUGGAAGGUUGCUCUGAAUGGUUGAAUCUAAAGAAUGUGACCUGUAGAAUUUGUUUUGGUCUUAACUUUAUGAAAGUAAAUAUGAUUAUUCAGUGUUGUCAUAAAACAGUGUCCAACAUCAGAGAUAAGAGUGCCAUUACAGUCUAAACUGAUUUCACUUAAGUAAGCUAAAGCAGGGGUGCCAAACUCAUUUUGCCCGGGGGCAGCAUUCGGUCUUCUACAAGGUCCGGAGGGCCGCACUGAUUUAUCCUCACAGCCAAAAUUUGCAAAAGAUUGUCCUUAAUCCAUAAUUUGUGGAAUUUUCAAUAAUCCCUGACUGUCUAAUUUUGGUGAUUAUAAGCGAGCUGCAAAGGUCCAUUAUAAUUUCUACACAGCUUUGACUGUUCAGAGGAGACUGUGUGAUCAGGCCUUCAUGGUUGAAUUGUUGCAAAGAAACCACUACUAAAGGACACUAAGAAGAAGAAGAGACUUGCUUGGGCCAAGAAACAACGAGCAAUGGACAUUAGACCGGUGGAAAUCUGUCCUUUGGUAUGAUGAGUCAAAAUGUGCGAUUUUUGUUUCCAACCACAGUGUCUUUGUGAGACGCAGAGUAGGUGAACGGAUGAUCUCUGCAUGUGUGGUUCCCACCAUGAAGCAUGGAGGAGGAGGCUCUAACUGUAACGGUUUUCUUCUGGUGAAAGAGAGGCGGACCAAAAGCAGCGUGAUGGGAUAGAAGAUCUGAAGUCCUGACACAACUCUCCUGCCCCAAGUUAUAGCGGCAGAGAUGAGAAUCUCCUAAAAGUGUCAGAAGAAGCUGUUUUUCCCUCAGCUGGGGAGAGAUAACGAUCACAGCACCAUCCACCUCCUCGGGUAGACCACAGGCCUUCUACCAAACCAAUCUCCAACGGAGCCUCAGGCACCAUACUGGGACCCAUUUUCAAAACUUCCUAAAGUGUUACCACAGCACACGAUUUAGAGUUCACAUAUUUGUAAGGCUCCUGCUAUAUGUUGCAUAUUUUAGUCUGUUAUCUAGUUCUCUAAAGUUCCCACUAAGAUGCUAGACUUGAAUGCAUCCUAGAGCUGAGAAGGUCCUCCAGCUUAGUCUAACAGCUUUCCACUCCAUAGGCUUAUAGACAGUGGUAUAUUAUUGACUGAGAAUCAUAACUACAGUCAGGAGGAAGCCUUCCCUCCACAGGAGGCUGGUGAGGGGAAGACAGCUCUAAAUAAUAGCUGGAAUGAAGUGAAGAGUAACCAUGUGUUUGAGACCAUUCCAAUAAUUUCGUUCCAGCCAUUACUAUGAUCCCUUCCUCCCUAAUUAAGUUCCCAACAGGCACCUGUGCUUCCCUCAGUACUAAACUAGUAAAUGUGGCAGGUCUCUGUUUGUCUAUCUAACCAAUGUUUUAAAUUGUGCAUUGGGCCUCCUGAUUCUAAACAUGUCCAAGGUGUUUUGCUCUGCUGAAACACACAUUACCAAUGUCCUCCUCUGCUAAAUCAGUAGCUCUAAACAGAAAGAUUCAGACUCUCUAUGCUUCAAGCUUGGGUGUGUCCAGUUCACAUGUACAGUAACAUUAUGAAACCUAAUAUUUCCUCACCUUUUCAUUUGUAUUAACCUUGCUGUCUGUCUCUCCGACAUUUGCAGCAUUGUUUCAAUAUUCCAAUUCAUUCUAUGACUGUCCCAUAGUAAUGAACGUGUAGGGUUCGGGAGUCGGGAUGAGAGAGUGAGGCAGGCAGCGUUUCUCAGCCAGUCAACAUCAUGAAUGAGCUGGCAUCAUUUAUAUGGAUAUAUAGAAAUAAAUGUAAAUUGAAAAAAGGUGAAAUAAAACGAAGUGCAGCUAGUUUACAGUCUUCCCAGCUUCAGUUUGAAGUUGUUUUGUUAGCUGUGUUGUUGGCUAGCUCUUCUGAACAACAGUGUCCUAACAAGAGAGCACUUUUUAUGCAAGGCGAAAUCGUGCCUCAUUAGCUCAUUGUUAUGGAUGUAUCCAAAUAAAUGUCACUAGAAAACAGCUUAAACAAAUGCAGCCACUGUUGUUAUCAUUUCUGCACUGUUUGGCGUGACUGUAAGUUAGCCAUAGUUGGCUAGCUAGCAAGCAAUAAUAAGAACGUUGCCAGCCAGGGUGGCAAUGCAACAUUUAGAACGAAUGACUGGGUCGCGUCCAUAGAUACAGAACAAAAAGACUGAACGACUGGGUCGCGCCUCUGGCAACCGAACCAAUAGAACGAACGACCAGCCGGCUUGGGUAGCAACCCUAGAUUUGUUUCGGGACUAUAUCUUGUGAAAGGAUGAAAUAGUAUGAAUAAAUUCAUUUUAAAAUUUAAAUUUAAGGCAAAUAUGUCAAUCAUUAUUUGAAUAUGUUGGUAACCCGUUGUAUCCAAGUGAUAAUGCCCUCGA